rnacentral:lncRNA from 1 species
AAUAUUAUCGUUUUCUAAGGGGAUAAUAUGAGAUUUAUCUAAUAAUAAAUAUGAAUUGUUUUUGAAGAUUCGUAUAUUGAAUUUGACAUAUUGGUUUUGUUAUAAUGUUUGAGAAGCCAUUUAAUAACUGAUACGAAUUUGUAAGGCCCAAUACUAAUGUUUGAGACAAAUUUUAACACUGCGAGUAAUUGUUCAUACCGAAAUUUAAUUUUUCAUAUAUCAGCCAUAAUAAGUUGCGACGGAUAUUGGGUUGCACUUUAAGUCUUAGCAGUGCUUUUAAUGCAUCAGAUUUUUGUAAUAUUCUUUUAAAAAUAUAGAUUAAAGAAUUUUUAAGUAGAUAUAUUUAAGAAAGAGUUAUGCUCACAUACAUAGUUGGAAUUUAUAAUUUACGCCCCAAAUAAUAUGAGAUAUGAUGUGUCAACAUUUAAUUAGUGAUGCAAUACUAUCUAAUCAACAACUAAAGCCAAUUGGCGCCUGCGAUAUGUUAAUUAAUUACUAAUAUUGUAUAUUUACUCAAGAAACUGGUGGAAAUGACAGAUGAAAUAAUCCAUUUUUAGCCUUUGAUGAUUUUCUAUCCAAAAUCUGGUGUGGGCAGUAACUCCACACCAGAGGCCAUUUGGGCCUUCAAUGUGAAUGUGUGGCACUGUGGCUCAUCACGUGAACAAGCAAAAAUUAUAUAGAAGAAAAAGAAGAAUAAAAAGAAAUUUUAUUUGAAUUUAUGAUAUGAUUAGUAAUGCUAAUUCAUGUAAUGUUAUUUGAAAAGAAAAGUCAUGCCUGCCAAUUCUUUUUUUUUUUUUUUAUUUAGAAGAAUUCAAAACUUUAAUUUGGGUUAUAAUUUCAUUUACCAUGAUAUGACUAGUAACGCUAAAUCAUAUCAUUAAUGACUUAAUAAUUUAUGUGGUUGGUUUCUUAACACAUGCUAUACAUUCUUUCAACAUAAUUUAUGAUAAAAAUAGAAUCCGUUAUCUUAUUCAUGUCCUAGAUGACUGAUUAAAUUUUAGUCAAGUUUAAGUCUAAAAAAAAUCAAGGUUUUUUUUUUUUUUUUGAAAUUAAUAGUGGUAAAGUUAGUUAAACAUAUGCUUUCAAAAUAAUUCAUUUAGUUGCAACUAAAAACCAUCGCAUUCAUUUAUACAGUCAACAUUGUUGUGCAUAAAAUUAAAUAGUUCAUAAUUUCACACGUCUAACAUUAAUUCUCAAGUAAAAAUGCAGUUCACCCAUUCAUUUAGCUGUAACCUAACCAUGAAUACGCAUGCGUGCUUGUAAAGAGUUACAAAAAUAUUCUUCAUACGGGAUGUUUUCAAUAAAUAUUUUAAGAUAUAAAAAAAAUGCAAGAUGUUCAUUUUAAAACGCCAAAAGAAAAUUAAUAAAAAUUCACCAAGAAGCACAACUUAGAGUCAUAGACAUGUCUCAAUUUUUAAUAUUCAAGCUUGAAGACAUUUACUUAUACAAUCCAAAAAUCAUGCUAAACUUACAAAAUUAAAAAUAUCAAAAUCUUUUAUAAUGUCAAUUUGAGGAUGAAAGAUAGGUUGGCCGAUUAUGUUAAAUUUAAAUUAAAACAAACAAGACACCUGUAAUAAAUAAUUAGAUGAAAAAACUUAUAAUACGAACACAUCAAGGGACAUUACAAAAUUUAUAAAUCGAGUAAAUGUGUCACCUUACACAAACACGAUUUGCUAACUGUUUUAUAACCAUUUAACUUCUUUAAUACAGCAUCACCUCCUUAACCCGCUUAAUAAAAAUUAUUACCAUUUAUAUUAUUGAACAAUCUACAACAUUACAGGGUCUAGCUACCGUGCAACUAUUGCAUGGUAUCCCCUAUUUUGUCUUCUUGUGUUUUCACCGUUAGAUUUAAUGUGGGUGUAGAUUCAACGGUGGGAUGCUAUUGUCUAAUAAUUAACACUAUACUCCCUGUUGUAUACUGAAAUUCUAAAAAAAUCAAACGUUUUGAAAUUCUAACACAUAAAUCCAUAUUGUAUUAAAUUUGUAAAUAAUUUAGAUAAUUAAAAAAAUGGGUAGGUUGUCUCAAGUUAAAAAAUUUGACAUAAACAUAAAUAGCAAUAUCUAACUCUAUUUUUUUUUUUAAUUUAAGGAGUGAGAUAAGUAAUGAUUUCACAUUAAGAUUCAAUUAAGAAAUCAGCUUAAAAAAUAAAACAAGUAUGACAUUACUAAAAUAAAAUAUUAAAUAAAUAACUAUAAAAACUUUGUAUUUUAUCUUCUUUCCUUACACUUUAGUCGCCACUUUAAAAUAUAUGCAGACUAGACUUUAAAUAAAAAAUAACUACAAUACAAUUUAAUUUCAAAGUUAUUAGUUAUUCAAAAAUAACAAAACUUAAACUUUAUCUGUAUAUUUAAACCAAUAUGACAUCAAUGACUUAUAGUUGAUAGAUUUGAUUUGUUAUCUUAAUUUAUUCAAUUGUCGUGACCUCACAAUUGUUAUCCAAAUAUUCAAAUCAAAUUGUUGCAUUUUGUCUUAGUUGUGAUGUGAAAAAUAAUUGAGAUAAUUGAUUAGUUAAUGAUAUUUUUAACUUGAAAGAAGUUGUUGGCUAAUGAUUGAUUAAUUAUCUACUCGGAGAAAAAGGAAACAAAACAUCUAUGGUGUGUUUAUUUCAUGGAAUAAGGAAUGAGAAUGAAACCCAUGUUUACUUGAUAACAUGUAAUUUGGGAAUAAGAAUAAAAUGUGUGGGUCCCACACAAAUUGGGAAUAAGGAAUGAGAAUCACAUUCCCAUUUGGGGGGGUUGGGAAUGAAAAUGAGGGAAUGGGAAUGAAAUAUAUGUUUACUUUUGUAUCUCUCUACUUUUUUCAUAUUUCCCAAAUUACCCUCAUUCAAAUCACAAAUCACAAUUAAUAUUAUUAUUUUA